rnacentral:rRNA from 1 species
GAGUUUGAUCAUGGCUCAGGAUGAACGCUGGCGGCGUGCCUAAUACAUGCAAGUCGAGCGAACGGACGAGAAGCUUGCUUCUCUGAUGUUAGCGGCGGACGGGUGAGUAACACGUGGAUAACCUACCUAUAAGACCUGGGAUAACUUCGGGAAACCGGAGCUAAUACCGGAUAAUAUUUUGAACCGCAUGGUUCAAAAGUGAAAGACGGUCUUGCUGUCACUUAUAGAUGGAUCCGCGCUGCAUUAGCUAGUUGGUAAGGUAACGGCUUACCAAGGCAACGAUGCAUAGCCGACCUGAGAGGGUGAUCGGCCACACUGGAACUGAGACACGGUCCAGACUCCUACGGGAGGCAGCAGUAGGGAAUCUUCCGCAAUGGGCGAAAGCCUGACGGAGCAACGCCGCGUGAGUGAUGAAGGUCUUCGGAUCGUAAACUCUGUUAUUAGGGAGAACAUAUGUGUAAGUAACUGUGCACAUCUUGACGGUACCUAAUCAGAAAG